rnacentral:tRNA from 3 species
GGCCUUGAAAGUGUAAACAUGUCGAACUGCAAAUUCGAAAAAAAGCAGCUUCAAUUCUGCCGGGGCUU